CCAAUAGCGUAUAUUAAAGUUGUUGCAGUUAAAAAGCUCGUAGUUGAAUUUCGGGAUCAAAUUGUCGGUCGUGCCUCGGUACGUACUGGUAUUAUUGGUUCCUCCCUUCUGACGAACCACGAUGUCAUUAAUUUGGUGUCAUGGGAAAUCAGGACUGUUACUUUGAAAAAAUUAGAGUGUUUAAAGCAGGCUCGCGCUUGAAUACAUUAGCAUGGAAUAAUGAAAUAGGACGUUUGAUUCUAUUUUGUUGGUUUCUAGGAUCGACGUAAUGAUUAAUAGGGAUAGUUGGGGGCAUUAGUAUUCAAUUGUCAGAGGUGAAAUUCUUGGAUUUAUUGAAGACUAACUACUGCGAAAGCAUUUGCCAAGGAUGUUUUCAUUAAUCAAGAACGAAAGUUAGGGGAUCGAAGACGAUCAGAUACCGUCGUAGUCUUAACCAUAAACUAUGCCGACUAGGGAUCGGAUGAUGUUAAUUUUUUAAUGACUCAUUCGGCGCCUUACG
rnacentral:ncRNA from 2 species